rnacentral:misc_RNA from 1 species
GCGCAGCAAGGGCAACAUCCGUCAUCAAGGACACGCGUAUGUCA